rnacentral:rRNA from 1 species
GACGAACGCUGGCGGCGUGCUUAACACAUGCAAGUCGAACGGAAAGGCCCUGCUUUUGUGGGGUGCCCGAGUGGCGAACGGGUGAGUAACACGUGAGUAACCUGCCCUUGACUUUGGGAUAACUUCAGGAAACUGGGGCUAAUACCGGAUAGGAGCUCCUGCUGCAUGGUGGGGGUUGGAAAGUUUCGGCGGUUGGGGAUGGACUCGCGGCUUAUCAGCUUGUUGGUGGGGUAGUGGCUUACCAAGGCUUUGACGGGUAGCCGGCCUGAGAGGGUGACCGGCCACAUUGGGACUGAGAUACGGCCCAGACUCCUACGGGAGGCAGCAGGGGGGAAUAUUGCACAAUGGGCGGAAGCCUGAUGCAGCAACGCCGCGUGCGGGAUGACGGCCUUCGGGUUGUAAACCGCUUUCGCCUGUGACGAAGCGUGAGUGACGGUAAUGGGUAAAGAAGCACCGGCUAACUACGUG